rnacentral:misc_RNA from 1 species
CAGCCGCGGUAAAUUCCAGCUCCAAUAGCGUAUAUUAAAGUUGUUGCAGUUAAAAAGCUCGUAGUUGAAUUUCGGGAUCAAUAUGUUGGUCGUGCCUUUGGUACGUACUAGCUUAUUGAUUUCUCCCUUCUGACGAACCAUGAUGUCAUUAAUUUGGUGUCAUGGGGAAUCAGGACUGUUACUUUGAAAAAAUUAGAGUGUUUAAAGCAGGCUUACGCUUGAAUAUAUUAGCAUGGAAUAAUGAAAUAGGACGUUUUGAUUCUAUUUUGUUGGUUUCUAGGAUCGACGUAAUGAUUAAUAGGGAUAGUUGGGGGCAUUAGUAUUCAAUUGUCAGAGGUGAAAUUCUUGGAUUUAUUGAAGACUAACUACUGCGAAAGCAUUUGCCAAGGAUGUUUUCAUUAAUCAAGAACGAAAGUUAGGGGAUCGAAGACGAUCAGAUACCGUCGUAGUCUUAACCAUAAACUAUGCCGACUAGGGAUCGGAUGAUGUUAAUUUUUUAAUGACUCAUUCGGCGCCUUACG